rnacentral:rRNA from 1 species
AACGAACGCUGGCGGCAUGCCUAACACAUGCAAGUCGAACGAACCCUUCGGGGUUAGUGGCGCACGGGUGCGUAACGCGUGGGGAUCUGCCCUUUGCUUCGGAAUAACAGUUAGAAAUGACUGCUAAUACCGGAUGAUGUCGCAAGACCAAAGAUUUAUCGGCAAAGGAUGAACCCGCGUAGGAUUAGCUAGUUGGUGAGGUAAAGGCUCACCAAGGCGACGAUCCUUAGCUGGUCUGAGAGGAUGAUCAGCCACACUGGGACUGAGACACGGCCCAGACUCCUACGGGAGGCAGCAGUGGGGAAUAUUGGACAAUGGGCGAAAGCCUGAUCCAGCAAUGCCGCGUGAGUGAUGAAGGCCCUAGGGUUGUAAAGCUCUUUUACCAGGGAUGAUAAUGACAGUACCUGGAGAAUAAGCUCCGGCUAACUUCGUGCCAGCAGCCGCCGAA